rnacentral:rRNA from 1 species
GCGUUGAAUUGAAGCCCGAGUAAACGGCGGCCGUAACUAUAACGGUCCUAAGGUAGCGAAAUUCCUUGUCGGUUAAAUACCGACCUGCAUGAAUGGCGUAACGAGAUGGGAGCUGUCUCAACCAGAGAUUCAGUGAAAUUGUAGUGGAGGUGAAAAUUCCUCCUACCCGCGGCAAGACGGAAAGACCCCGUGGACCUUUACUACAAC